rnacentral:rRNA from 1 species
UACAGAGGUCCCGAGCGUUGUUCGGAUUCAUUGGGCGUAAAGGGUGCGUAGGCGGCGGGGCAAGUCUGAUGUGAAAUCCUGGGGCUCAACCCUGGAACUGCAUUGGAUACUGCCUUGCUAGAGUACUGGAGAGGAAACUGGAAUUUACGGUGUAGCAGUGAAAUGCGUAGAGAUCGUAAGGAAGACCAGUGGCGAAGGCGGGUAGCUGGGCCGACACUGACGCUGAGGCGCGAAAGCCAGGGGAGCGAACGGG